AAGGUUUUUUUAAGUGCAGUGGGGGUUUUUUGGCACUGAUCUUUUCAUAAGUCUUCAGCUUUUAUUUAACAGUUUUCCUUCUCAAUAUUGAUUAUGAUUGCACACUUAUGUCCAUGACUAAACUUAGCUAACAAGAUACAUGAUUUCUGCUCUAGCUUGGAACUCAGUAAUUAAUAAUCCUGUCAGCACAUGACUAUACAACUAGAUUAUGUACAAAGAUCACCAUAACAAUAGUAAAAAAAAGCAAUUUUGGGGUGGGGGGGUGUUGGUUGGUUUGUUUUUUUUCCUAAGAGGGUACGUUAUUUUAAAAGAAAACUAUUUUUGUGUUUCUCUCUUGAUCAGAUACUGGAUAUAGAGAUCAUUCUUUUAGUUAGUCAGCAUUGGUCCCUAAAAAUUUGCUUUACUUUUACUGUUUGUCAUAUGUCAUUUUAUCUUUAAAGACUGCCGGAGUUCAUGAUUCCUGAGAAGUAACACCUUGAAGUUCUGGCACUGUCUUCUAUAAAGUAACUUACACUGAGCUGGCUUCCUGUUACUGUGUCAAUGAAACAUCAAAUGUUCAUACUAUGUGUGAAGCAACAUUUGAUAUUAUGGCUAUUAAGCUACUUGAAAAAAUACUAUACAGAUGGAUUUUGUGUUUACAAGACCUGGCAUUUAAAUAUCUAUAUCAUGGAUGCAGAUCAUCAGUAAGGAUAAAGCAUCCUACGUGUUCAUGCAAGCAGUGCUAUUAUUCUGCCUGCACUGCUUGGUUUUCUGGUCAAGAAGCUAAUUUCAGCAUUGCCAGUGCCCUUUUUUCUUGAAUUCUAGUUCUCUCUAGCACAUGCUCUUCAGGUAUGUAUAGCUUUGUAGGUAUUACAGGGAAAUAUUCUGAAUUCAAAACACAUGUAGUUUCUUUUAAGUCACAUAUAGAUAAGUAGGGUUUGCUACUUGACAGAAUAUCUGAAAAAGUCUGAUUCCUAAACAAAACCAGAACUUUGAUGGUGGAUUUUACUUUCUGUGGUUAACAGGCUAUUUUUACAGUGACAAAUAAAGUCUGUUAGUAAUAAAAAUGAAACCUAGUA
rnacentral:lncRNA from 1 species